GUAUUUUGCUCGGUAUAGGAAUUGCAUCCCUGUUUGCAUUUUUAUGGGGUGCAUACUCUAGUAUACACAUAAUAUGUGGAGCUGUUACUGCGCGGACGAUAUUCUCCACUGUCAGUUCAUUACUGCCAGCAAAGAGUUUCGGAUUUUGGACCUUACUCUGCUUGCAAAGCUCAUUAAACUCAGUAAGAACCAGUUAUAUAACUGCUGCUCCUCUGAUGAUCGCGGAUCUUUUUGAUAGCAGAGAUCGGAUUAAAAUGCAGUGCAUAUUUUACAUCCUUUAUUCUAUUGGAUGUGUCGUGGGGACCAUUUUUGGACCAAUUCUGAUUGGCUUUUACGGUUCCCUGUGGCGAAUGGCACUACGGGUAAGUGAAACAUAUAUGAAAAUAAUAAAGGCCGGUGGGAAGACAAAAGCAUCACUUUCUGAAGUGGCUUGAAGUUGCCUAGAGAGGAAAUUUCAGACUGCUAGACGCCGCAUAUGUCUUCCCAUUGGUGAUUUACAUUCCUGCCAGUUGGA